rnacentral:rRNA from 1 species
GACGGGUGGGCGGCGUGCUUACACAUGCAAGUCGAACGAUGAUGCCCAGCUUGCUGGGUGGAUUAGUGGCGAACGGGUGAGUAACACGUGAGUAACCUGCCCCUGACUCUGGGAUAAGCGUUGGAAACGACGUCUAAUACUGGAUAUGAUCACUGGCCGCAUGGUCUGGUGGUGGAAAGAUUUUUUGGUUGGGGAUGGACUCGCGGCCUAUCAGCUUGUUGGUGAGGUAAUGGCUCACCAAGGCGACGACGGGUAGCCGGCCUGAGAGGGUGACCGGCCACACUGGGACUGAGACACGGCCCAGACUCCUACGGGAGGCAGCAGUGGGGAAUAUUGCACAAUGGGCGAAAGCCUGAUGCAGCAACGCCGCGUGAGGGAUGACGGCCUUCGGGUUGUAAACCUCUUUUAGUAGGGAAGAAGCGAAAGUGACGGUACCUGCAGAAAAAGCACCGGCUAACUACGUGCCAGCAGCCGCGGUAAUACGUAGGGUGCAAGCGUUGUCCGGAAUUAUUGGGCGUAAAGAGCUCGUAGGCGGUUUGUCGCGUCUGCUGUGAAAUCCCGAGGCUCAACCUCGGGCUUGCUGUGGGUACGGGCAGACUAC